UACAGAGGUCUCAAGCGUUGUUCGGAUUCAUUGGGCGUAAAGGGUGUGUAGGUGGCGCCGUAAGUCGGGUGUGAAAUUUCGGAGCUUAACUCCGAAACUGCAUUCGAUACUGCGGUGCUUGAGGACUGGAGAGGAGACUGGAAUUCAUGGUGUAGCAGUGAAAUGCGUAGAGAUCAUGAGGAACACCAGUGGCGAAGGCGAGUCCCUGGACAACUCCUGACACUGAGGCACGAAAGCUAGGGGAGCAAACAGG
rnacentral:rRNA from 1 species